AUCCCUUGCUGACAGAUUUUAAAAUUCAUACCGUGAGAUCAGAGCUGCAAAGGCGAGGGGGUGUUCUCGGCAACAGAUGUUUGGUAAUUAAGCAUACGGUUUCCUUGUUUUGGAGAGCUGGAGGAAUUUCAAAUUGGCAGGAUUUGUUCCAUUGGAGGAAGCUCGAGUUCUAAAGAAAAUAUUCUUACUCCCCACCUAGGUGUUAGUGGCUCAGCUUCCCAAUGACAGUAACUGGAAGAAGGAUCCACACAGAGAAAUCUGGGGAGGAGUGGGUUCCAAUGCCAAGGGAGGGCAGCUUCUUGUGAUUUGUCCACGUUGGGAACCAUGGAAGUCAUCUGCAAAUCAUUGCCAAAGAUAUGUUUUAGCUGGAGACCAGCAGGUAUAAAGGUUCAGACAUCUCAUUUGUGACCUAGAAGACAUCUCAUUUGUGACCUAGAAGGUAGGGUGGUCUCUGGAGGCCUUAGAGGGAGGGGAGGGCUUUAGGAAUUCCCGCUAAACGACAUCUAUACAGAGCCUUUCUGCUGACACGGGCCAGCAAGUGGUUAAUAUCAAAAAGCAGACAUCUGAAGAGGCACUGACACCCUCCCACUCACAGAAGGUUGGUUUUUCACCUGUGGCUUAAACGGAUAGGGAGAUUUCUUUGGCCCGAGCACCUUCUGUCCUCAAAGUGGGUUGCUCAUGUCAGUGGCAUGAGCUCCAAAGGCACCACCUUCCCCCAUGGCUGUCCCUAAGGGGGACUCUCUGCUCUGCUCUAAGGGGGAGUACUGGCCUCCGAAAGCACCCUCCAGUCUGUGGCAGCCUCCCCACCCGGAGGCCCUGUCCUCUGUCCAAACCAUUCUCUUCCCAGUGCCCACCCAGCGCCUGGCUGACCACGGUGAACAACGAGAUUCUCUGUUUCUUCUAGUCCGCUAACCUCCUGAAAUGCUGCCUCUUCCAGGAAUCCUGCUGGUUGCGCUAGAACAUUGCUCGCUGUGGCUCUCCAUGGUGGCUCUGACCCGGGUGCAAGUUCUGCAGAGAUCAAUGAGGCUGCCUUGGGGUCACUGCCCCAUUCAGCUAAGUGAUGGACUUUCUACAUCGUGCUGCCUGCGCGUUUCCCGGGCCCACGUGUCUUGGCUCACCUGGGCUGGUGGGCAUCCACAGGGGCAGGCAAGCCAGUGACUGGCAGAGUCAACUUUGCCCAGUGACUGGUGCUGGCCCAGAUGCUGGGAGUUGAGAGCACAGUGCAAUGCAUUUGGGGCUCACCAGAUGCUCUUCGGGAGCCCUAAGGGAAGCAGACUUCCCCUGGGAAAGAUCUCAACUCAGAAACCCUCUCAAGGCCUGGCUCCCCACCCUAGGAAGGGAGGAAAACGAUCGUUCCACCCAGAGAUCAAAUCGUCAAGGGGGUCAUCGAAGGGAUUUCACUGUGCAUUGGGAAUCCUUGGCACGGGAACUUCUCUGCUUCACAAAAAAUCCUUGAGUGAGAGUCUCCUACAUUUUAUGUCCUCAAAUCUAAACCUCAACUGGCAGAUUCCGGCCAGGCUGGGGGUUAACUCAGGACUCAGAGAAACCGCUCCACCAGAGGCUCUGAUGAAGGGAUCAGUCAGGAAUUCAUAAAGUAUUUAUUUAACUGCCAAAAGCACCCCCACCCUCCCUUUCUUGUAUGUUAGAAUUGAUGCAAAGUUUCCGAGACAAGCCUGCGAUUGCGGCUGUCACCAAACAAUGCCAUAUUUCUUUUCUUCUCUUAAAUUCUAGGGAUCAUUCCCUGUAAGAGGGCAAUUUGUCUGUCAGGCAGGCAAAACAGGGGCCGCUCCCUGCCCUCAUUAAACUGACAACACGGUUAUUAGCAGAAAACGAAGCCAGCCCGCCAUGAAGCUAGCCACUGUUUUAUGGCGAGCGCCAGGGAGAUAUUUUCAGUAAUUAAUUUGAUAAAUAUAUUAAUUAUGAAUUGAGUUGACAGUACAAUCAGAUUGUCAGCCUUCCAGACAGCCUCUUGUGAUAAGUAGCUCUGUGAUGAAGUGGUUGGAUUUCAAGCCUGUCAUCCUGCAGGGCAGUCCCUUAUCACCCGUCUGCCCAUUCACUCUGUAAUUUCCUGCGCAUUGUA
rnacentral:lncRNA from 1 species